GUCGACGAACUCUGGUAUUGAUUGGUGCUUGCAUCAUGAUUUACAUUUGAGUGAGUGGCGAACUGGUGAGUAACACGUGGGAAACCUGCCCAGAAGCGGGGGAUAACACCUGGAAACAGAUGCUAAUACCGCAUAACAACUUGGACCGCAUGGUCCGAGUUUGAAAGAUGGCUUCGGCUAUCACUUUUGGAUGGUCCCGCGGCGUAUUAGCUAGAUGGUGGGGUAACGGCUCACCAUGGCAAUGAUACGUAGCCGACCUGAGAGGGUAAUCGGCCACAUUGGGACUGAGACACGGCCCAAACUCCUACGGGAGGCAGCAGUAGGGAAUCUUCCACAAUGGACGAAAGUCUGAUGGAGCAACGCCGCGUGAGUGAAGAAGGGUUUCGGCUCGUAAAACUCUGUUGUUAAAGAAGAACAUAUCUGAGAGUAACUGUUCAGGUAUUGACGGUAUUUAACCAGAAAGCCACGGCUAACUACGUGCCAGCAGCCGCGGUAAUACGUAGGUGGCAAGCGUUGUCCGGAUUUAUUGGGCGUAAAGCGAGCGCAGGCGGUUUUUUAAGUCUGAUGUGAAAGCCUUCGGCUCAACCGAAGAAGUGCAUCGGAAACUGGGAAACUUGAGUGCAGAAGAGGACAGUGGAACUCCAUGUGUAGCGGUGAAAUGCGUAGAUAUAUGGAAGAACACCAGUGGCGAAGGCGGCUGUCUGGUCUGUAACUGACGCUGAGGCUCGAAAGUAUGGGUAGCAAACAGGAUUAGAUACCCUGGUAGUCCAUACCGUAAACGAUGAAUGCUAAGUGUUGGAGGGUUUCCGCCCUUCAGUGCUGCAGCUAACGCAUUAAGCAUUCCGCCUGGGGAGUACGGCCGCAAGGCUGAAACUCAAAGGAAUUGACGGGGGCCCGCACAAGCGGUGGAGCAUGUGGUUUAAUUCGAAGCUACGCGAAGAACCUUACCAGGUCUUGACAUACUAUGCAAAUCUAAGAGAUUAGACGUUCCCUUCGGGGACAUGGAUACAGGUGGUGCAUGGUUGUCGUCAGCUCGUGUCGUGAGAUGUUGGGUUAAGUCCCGCAACGAGCGCAACCCUUAUUAUCAGUUGCCAGCAUUAAGUUGGGCACUCUGGUGAGACUGCCGGUGACAAACCGGAGGAAGGUGGGGAUGACGUCAAAUCAUCAUGCCCCUUAUGACCUGGGCUACACACGUGCUACAAUGGAUGGUACAACGAGUUGCGAACUCGCGAGAGUAAGCUAAUCUCUUAAAGCCAUUCUCAGUUCGGAUUGUAGGCUGCAACUCGCCUACAUGAAGUCGGAAUCGCUAGUAAUCGCGGAUCAGCAUGCCGCGGUGAAUACGUUCCCGGGCCUUGUACACACCGCCCGUCACACCAUGAGAGUUUGUAACACCCAAAGUCGGUGGG
rnacentral:rRNA from 2 species